CGGGGAAAUACAUAAAGCAAAUCUGCCUGUGAAUAUUUUAUAUAACUACAAUAUAGAAUCAAAGUGGUUAGAACUGAGUGCCCAACAGAUUUCAAACCACGCUCUGCCUGGUAUCCUGGAACAGCCAUUGACAAUGGAUGGGAGUGAUUAGCUUUCUCUGGCUUUAACAGAAGACAAUUUGACGUUUGUCGUAGGAGAAGUCACACUGCAGGACUGGGCUCCAAAUCUUCUGACACUGCCAGAAUUUCAUCGGAGGACUCUGCUAACUUCUACUUACCUGUAUCCAGCGUUCCAUGUGAUUCCUAGUGUCUCCUCGUCUUCUGUGAGUGUCAUCGUGUCUCGUCUGCUCCACGAUCCCUGGGAAAGAUAAAGACAAGUAUCAGAUCCGGUAUCAUCUUCAGUCAUGAACUUAACCUGCUUCCACUCACCUGCACUCUGCCAACGUUCUCUGGUCGUUCAAUAAACUUGUAUGUUAACUAUACCUGUGUCUCUGUCCCCUUCUGUACAUAACACAAUGUCAUGUAAUGUCACAUUUAUCU